GGAUCGGUAGCUUAGUCUGGAAUUGACGAGAGCCGAUAGACGCAUCAUAAGAACAGACGCACUAAAGACUGACGAGCUUUGCUCGUCUUUUCGCUUCGCGUCAAGUGAAUAUGCGUCAAUGUGGUUCGUCUUUGGGCAGCUGGAGCGCCACGCUGAUAACGUGGAGGACGGGAGUUCAAAUCUCCCCCGAUCCA
rnacentral:tRNA from 1 species